rnacentral:rRNA from 1 species
UACGUAGGGGGCAAGCGUUGUCCGGAUUUAUUGGGCGUAAAGAGCGUGUAGGCGGCCAUACAGGUCCGUUGUGAAAACUCGAGGCUUAACCUCGAGACGUCGAUGGAAACCGUAUGGCUAGAGUCCGGAAGAGGAGAGUGGAAUUCCUGGUGUAGCGGUGGAAAUGCGCAGAUAUCAGGAAGAACACCAAUGGCGAAAGCAGCUCUCUGGGACGGUACUGACGCUGAGACGCGAAAGCGUGGGGAGCGAACAGG